UAAUACCAGCGGUCCGAGUCGCAGCCAUUUUUAUUGGGUCUAAAACAUCCGUAGCUUGCUAAGUAAGUCUCUUGUGAAAUCUGACAUCUCAAGUGUUGGGCGUGCAAGAGAUACUGCUUAGCUAGAGACCGGGAGACGUAAGGAGUACGGUUAGGGUAGCGGUAAAAUGCGUUGAUCCUUUCUGGACUAACGAUAGCGAAGGCACCUUACGAGAACGGAUCUGACAGUCAGGGAUGAAGGCUAGGGGCGCAAAACGGAUUAGAUACCCGUGUAGUCCUAGCAGUAAACACUGCACACUAAACAUUGGGGCCUCCUCGAGAGGUUUCAGUGCUGUAGGGAAGCCGUAGAGUGUGCUACCUGGGAAGUAUAGUCGCAAGGCCG
rnacentral:rRNA from 1 species